rnacentral:tRNA from 1 species
GGAAGCGUGUCGGAGUGGUCUAACGAGACAGUCUUGAAAACUGUUAGGGGUGAAAGCUCCUCGUGAGUUCGAAUCUCACCGCUUCCG